UACGUAGGGCGCAAGCGUUGUCCGGAAUUAUUGGGCGUAAAGAGCUCGUAGGCGGUCUGUUACGUCCGCUGUGAAAACCCAGGGCUUAACCCUGGGCUUGCAGUGGAUACGGGCAGACUAGAGGCAGGUAGGGGAGAAUGGAAUUCCCGGUGUAGCGGUGAAAUGCGCAGAUAUCGGGAGGAACACCGGUGGCGAAGGCGGUUCUCUGGGCCCGACCUGACGCUGAGGAGCGAAAGCGUGGGGAGCGAACAGG
rnacentral:rRNA from 1 species